rfam:TPA: Bos taurus chromosome 18, whole genome shotgun sequence.
UGGAGCGGGGGGGCAGGAGGGGCUCAGGGAGAUAGUGUGUGCUGCCCCUGGCCCUCUCUGCCCUUCCGUCCCCUG